rnacentral:rRNA from 1 species
UACAGAGGGUGCGAGCGUUGUCCGGAAUCACUGGGCGUAAAGGGCGCGUAGGUGGCGGCCCAAGUCCGUGGUGAAAGCUCGCCGCUUAACGGCGAGUCGGCCACGGAGACUGGGUGGCUCGAGCACUGUAGGGGCAGAUGGAAUUCCGAGUGUAGCGGUGGAAUGCGUAGAGAUCCGGAAGAACACCAGUGGCGAAGGCGGUCUGCUGGGCAGUUGCUGACACUGAGGCGCGACAGCGUGGGGAGCAAACAGG